GUGUUGUAGAAAAGGGUGGCACUUCCCCCCACAUGGACAGAAGAGGCCCUCAAGCCUGACAACAGGCACACAGUGAAGGCACUGCCACCUACUUCCUGGCAUCUAACCAUCCUUUGUU
rnacentral:ncRNA from 1 species